rnacentral:rRNA from 1 species
AAAGGAAUUGGCGGGGGAGCACCGCAACGGGAGGAGCGUGCGGUUUAAUUGGAUUCAACACCGGAAAACUCACCAGGAGCGACGGUUACAUGAAAGUCAGGCUGAUGACCUUACUAGAUUUUCCGAGAGGUGGUGCAUGGCCGUCGUCAGUUCGUACCGCAAGGCGUUCUCUUAAGUGAGAUAACGAACGAGAUCCUCUCCAUUAGUUGCUAUCGGUUUCUCCGGGGAUCGAGCACACUAAUGGGACCGCUGGCGCUAAGUCAGAGGAAGGAGAGGUCAACGGUAGGUCAGUAUGCCCCGAAUCUCCUGGGCUACACGCGCGCUACAAAGGGCGGGACAAUGGGCUCCUACACCGAAAGGUGAAGGCAAUCUCGAAACCCGUCCGUAGUUCGGAUUGAGGGUUGUAACUCACCCUCAUGAAGCUGGAUUCCGUAGUAAUCGCGGAUCAACAAUCCGCGGUGAAUAUGCCCCUGCUCCUUGCACACACCG